UCAGCCUGCUGCACUGCAUCAAGACCUUUAAGUGAUUGUCGACGUAUUUCAUGCCGCGGGAAUGAAAAAUCAAUCUCUAUUGCAAUGAAAAAGAAAAAGGUAAAAAGCGAGACUUAGAGAGAGAAUUUAUUUGGCCUGUCAGCACAUUUAGCCAUUUUCAAUCACACACUCGACAUGUGGAUCAUUAUUACCAUUUUUUGUUACUGUAGGAUUAUUUAUUUGAGGAAGGCAGGAGGAAAUAAAGAAGGAAGGUACGAAGGGAAGGGCAGAAGGAAGGACGGAAGGAAGAGAGGAAGGAAGGAAUAAAGAAAGGAAGGAUGGACGAUAGAAAGGGAAGAAUGUGAAGAAGGAAGGAGUUAAGAAUGGAAAGAAGGAAAAAAAGAAUGAAGAAAGAAAGGAGAGUAGAAGCAAUGGCAGCUCGGGAAACUGGCCUUCAGUGUGAACGUCUCCUGGUUCCUGUGGGCACCCUGCACAUUCCUGACUGGACUGGUGUAGAAUCAACGCAAGGGUGCCUGGCCAACGCUGCACAAAAUGCACAUUCUUUAUUAAUUGAGCUCGAGCUAAGCCGCAAACCUUCAAUGCUGGCCGUCCAAUCACAGCGCAGUAGGGAAGAGCAGGCUGGCCAAUCACAUCAGCUAAAUGGACAGGCACAACUUGGUCAACUCCAAGAAAGAGGAAAACGAGAUGAAAGACAUGUCAACAUUUUGGAACAUCUUACGACCGAGAAGCACUUGAUAUGAGCUGGAUGCGAGAUGUGCCACGGAGAUAUCUACAAGACUCGGGACGUAAGGGUUUGAGGAGGGACAAAACAGGAAAAAAGAAAAAUUCCCCACCCAGCAUGUGAAAACCUGUGUCAGGUUUCCUCAUAGACAAGGUCACCCUCUCUCCGUGUCGCCUCAGUGCCUCCACUGUGGUAACCCAAUCUGCCGCCGCAGAAAAAAAAAAAGCUUUUUGUCGCAAGAGAAGACUUAAACCGUUUCCCCGUAGUCUGCGUCUAUUUUUCCGAUGUUGUGUUGCAAGAGGUUGCAUCAAAAUUCCUCACAAACUCAAUUCCUUCUCGCACAUUUUUGGUCCAAAUCCAUUUAAAGCAGCCUAUCGUGCAUUUUGGCAAGAACUUGCCGCAAAGGAGCACGAAAUGAAGACAGGAAACGGGAGAAGAGCAGAGGACCCGGGAGGCUUUCAGACAAGAGGUUGCUUUUCUACAUCGCCGACGAGCGAGGCCGACACCCGAGCCGUCUGAAUGGGAAUCGGAUCAUCUGUCAACACAAGGCACGGCCCGGAUCCUGCCUGCAGACUGACAUGGAUAGGACACUUCCUCUUACGGUCCCAUGAAAUGGUGGCGCAUAUUGUUGCUAUGGUGAUUGUCGGUUACGACCAGGGGCAACAGGUGGGACUGCCCUAAAGUGCAAACCAAAGUUAUUUUAACACCACCUGUUCAUGUCAGCAGUUUUCAAAUUUUUGGAUUCGUGGAUAUUUUACAUGAUCAAAUCCAAACAUGCUCACAGCCUGAAAGACUGACACAACUAAUCAAGCCAAACACAACAGUCGACCUUUUCCUCGGAGGCACAAAUUUUAAGGUGCCCUUUGAGGUGAACACAAGGUUGUAAGUCUAAACCAAAAGCUGCUCGUCAUUUCCAGACUUGCUCCGGCCUCCUCUUGUAUUAUGAAGCAUCCAACCAGGAGGGUGGCAAAUACACAGUAACCCCGAACUUCCCCUUUCCUCUGGAGGGGAAGCCAUUUUAUUGUGUUAGA